GUCCCUUCCAACUCUACAAUUCUAUGAAACCAGGAUCAAUUUUUUUCUACCUAUUUCAUAGAAUCAUAGAAUCAUAGAGUUGGAAGAGAC